AUAGAUGAUAAGCUGACCAACAACAGGUUAAAGCUACGGCGACAACUCAUUGGACAUAAAGCAAACAGCGUUAAACUAAGCAGGCUGAUUAUUUUCCAGAUCAUAGAGUUCAAACACCAUCAUAAAUACAUAGAUUUUUUCUAGCUAGGUUGAGCAUUGAACCACUACAUUGAACAAGAGCGCGGAUUGAAGAACUAAAACCCCAAA
rnacentral:misc_RNA from 1 species